CACUUUAUUAUAUUUUUGUUGUUCACUUUGGCUGAUCAGACGUCAACUCGACAUUAAGUUUUCUGUUAUGUAUUGAAGUCGUUCUGAUCUGCUGGCCACCGUAGUGAUUAGGAAUUGCACUAUUCUAGUUUUGUUAUAUGCCGGCCACCGUAGUUAGGAAGUUCGAGGUUGUUCCUGACUGUAAUGACACACGUUCGGAAAAUAGAUGCAUUCUGGGAAGUGAUGUGUUUCAAUGUAGGCUACUCGUGUUUCCUUCACUCAGACAUGUGUGCUGAUUCUUUUCCAAUUUUGAGCAAGGAUAUAAAAUAUGAAGACUGUACUUUUUCAUUAAGAUUGAUAUUUUUGCACAAUGUGUUGUGCUACGCGUAACGCGUCAUUGUAUGCGACGGUCUAAGGAGCAGUCCUAUGCGUCCACCCACCAUGCGUCCACCUGUCCACCACUGUAAGUAGAACAGUCAAACAAGCAAGGGAAAUUAGGCAUUUAGACGUCCACAAUGAUGAAGUUAUGGCAAAAAAAAAAACAGAACAAAACAAAUUGUCGUUGUUGACUCCGAACGCCACUGUAAACUGUAGCGGUUUAAUUUACAUCAAUGCAAAUAAAUGCAAAGUAGCUUGCUCUGCUAGCUAGCUCGAUUAGCUAACUCGCCCCUAUUGAUUUGGAGGUGUACUUUUGGCAUUGCCAGAUACCGUGUAUGUUUAUGAAUGGAUUUGAACUGAGUAUUUUGUAUUUGGAGAUUAUUUUUCUUUCAGAAACAAGUUGCAAGGUCAGAUGUGUUGUCCUCCUACCCCCAACUUCCGGUCCUAGUCCCAGUAGGCCCUUGUUGGUCUACCUGUGAGAGUACCUGAGCUACAUCUCUGAAGUCUCACGGUAAAAUGCUGGAAUACCUGAGCUACUUCCCUGAAGGUGAACACUCGUACAGAGACGCUACGGAGUACUACGCAGAGGCAUGGAGGUACAGUUACAAGGUCAACCCCAGCAUAGAUGAGUACGGACUACACCCAAGCAGAGUCCCGCCGUAAAAUGCUGGAGUACCUGAGCUACUUCCCUGAAGGUGAACACUCGUACAGAGACGCUACGGAGUACUUCGUAGAGGCAUGGAGGUACAGUUACAAGGUCAGAGAGACGCUGAUGUGUUCUACGCAGAGGCUUGGAGUCCUGCUGUAACACACUGGAGUACCUGAGCUACUUAAAGUGAACACUCGUACAGAGACGCUAAUGUGUUCUUCGCAGAGGCUUGGAGGUUGUCAGCUGUUGGCUCAACUGCAAAGCAUGGUGUGACAAGAUGUGUCUUGUGUUCCUGUGACCAGAAGGCUCAACAAUGCAUCAUUCUUACUGACCAGAUGGAUUGUUUCAUGGCCAGAGGAGGACCACUACACUGGCAAUGACUGGGGUUUGGCUUAGGGCCCACCAACCAUAGCGAUCUCCGCCCAAACCAACCAGCUGUCAACCGCUGCGCUGCCACUGGCUUGUGGAUCUAAAGUUUUGUCAUGAUAGCUUGUUUUUGUUUUGUACACAACCCUAUAGAUGAUCGCUUAUUCCAAGGAAGACACACACAAAUAAAUACAAACUACUUUAAGGGACACAAAGGUAUGGAAGGACUCCAGCCACUGAUAUUGGACAUAUGGUGUAAUUUUCUUCUGUAUCUAUCUAAUGCAAAGCUAUACUUGCAACAAUUUCUUAUGUCAUGUGAAAUGAUAAGAUGAAAACUUCACUCAUAUGCAUUAGCUCUUGCAUAACAUCUUUGCAUUAAUGGACCAUGUUUACGACAGACUAAUUUCGAACCUAGCCAACCUGCGGCCAAUACACUGAUGAUUGCCUGGGGCCAUAUCAGGAGCGUGCCUGUUCCUGCGUACCUUUUUGAUACUUUUGCUCAUAUACCAUGCAUUAGUUUGUGUAGUGCUGAAUGUAUUAGGGAAGCUGAACACCUUUUCUGUGAUAUAUCUGUAUGGAAGAGACCCCUUAUCACAAACCAAUAAAAUGUCUGCAUUUGAUUGACAUAGAUAAAUAGAUAUAUGUUGUGCUGAAAUAAAGCCAUUUCA